rnacentral:tRNA from 1 species
GGAGAGGUGGCUGAGCGGUUGAAAGCGGCGGUCUUGAAAACCGUUGUGCGGUGAUCCCGUACCCAGGGUUCGAAUCCCUGCCUCUCCGCCA